CCUACGGGUGGCAGCAGUGGGGAAUAUUGGACAAUGGGCGAAAGCCUGAUCCAGCCAUGCCGCGUGUGUGAAGAAGGCCUUCGGGUUGUAAAGCACUUUCAGUGGGGAAGAAAGCCUUGGGGCUAAUACCCUCGAGGAAGGACAUCACCCACAGAAGAAGCACCGGCUAACUCCGUGCCAGCAGCCGCGGUAAUACGGAGGGUGCGAGCGUUAAUCGGAAUUACUGGGCGUAAAGCGCGCGUAGGCGGUCUGAUAAGCCGGUUGUGAAAGCCCCGGGCUCAACCUGGGAACGGCAUCCGGAACUGUCAGGCUAGAGUGCAGGAGAGGAAGGUAGAAUGCCAGGUGUAGCGGUGAAAUGCGUAGAGAUCGGGAGGAAUACCAGUGGCGAAGGCGGCCUACUGGACUGACACUGACGCUGAGGUGCGAAAGCGUGGGUAGCAAACAGGAUUAGAUACCCGAGUAGUC
rnacentral:rRNA from 1 species